GUGGGGAAUAUUGCACAAUGGGGGAAACCCUGAUGCAGCGACGCCGCGUGAGUGAAGAAGUAUUUCGGUACGUAAAGCUCUAUCAGCAAGGAAGAAAAUGACGGUACUUGACUAAGAAGCCCCGGCUAACUACGUGCCAGCAGCCGCGGUAAUACGUAGGGGGCAAGCGUUAUCCGGAUUUACUGGGUGUAAAGGGAGCGUAGACGGUAUGGUAAGUCAGAUGUGAAAGCCCGGGGCUCAACCCCGGGACUGCAUUUGAAACUAUCAGACUAGAGUGCAGGAGAAGUAAGUGGAAUUCCUAGUGUAGCGGUGAAAUGCGUAGAUAUUAGGAGGAACACCAGUGGCGAAGGCGGCUUACUGGACUGUAACUGACGUUGAGGCUCGAAAGCGUGGGGAGCAAACAGGAUUAGAAACCCGGGUAGUCC
rnacentral:rRNA from 1 species